ACGCCGUGUUCCCUCGCCGUUCGUCGACGCAGGCAUCUACAUCUUCCCGUCACCAUGGUCGUCGUUGGGCAAGAUCGGCCUGGCGCACGCGGCGAUGUCCGGCGUCAUUUUGCAUCAGCGGGCCGGCCACCACAUCGCCGACGGGAAAGCUACCACAUGUAGUGCUCUGCGUAGCUGUGCUCUUGCUAACUUGGUUCAUGGCUAGUUGGUGUGAGAUUCACGGGGAAGUAUGGAUCCCUGGAAGAUUUAGGAAUCAGGGAGCCAGCUUUGGGCCUACUCGAGGAAGUACUUUCACGCUGAUAGAUGGACAUUCAAGUAAAAACAAGGGAUGAACUCAACUUGCUUUUGGGAUCUCUUAUUUAGUGAUGGCUUUGGAGAGAUAUUGGUACAAAUGAUAAUCAAGUAAACUGGGAUUUCUAAAUCUUGUUGAAGAAGAUUGUUCUAUCCCUUUGGACGUCCCUAAAUUAGCUAGGAAAUUAAUUGGCUUUUGCUCAGUGAUCAUGUAUGUUCCAGGAGUUGAAAUUGUCAUAUAUAUCCAACUAUUUUCUAUCGCUGGAAAUUUAAUAUAAUUUCUUAUGUAGCAGUGAACUAAGAUGUAUGCUGAACUAGGAGCAGCACAUCCGUCAGAUUUCAAGUUUGUUGGACUAGUGAUAGUUGGGUAAUAGAAGUAUUGUCCCAACCAUAAUUUGAUUGCACGAAGAGCUUUUGGCAUCAAUGAACUGGUACCGCAGAUCGACCAAGGGCAAUCCCGCAGCAGGUGGAAACCAGCACGGCAGUUUCAUCCAUGCUCCAGAUUCUUGUUGUCUAGUGAACCUUUGGUUUCUGCUAUACCUUUGGUGGAGGUAAUCAAAAGCAUGACUCCUUGUGCUAUUCCUUCAUAUUAUUUGCUUCUCCUGCCUUGUAAAGUAUAGGUGGAAAAUGGCAUUAGGACUUUGACUCCUUGUAAACUACAUCUGAACCAAAGUAAGCACUGAGUAAAUGGCUGCAAAUUCUGAUACUAAUUAACAUCUGAUUUUAUCUUUCAGCUAGACGGUAUUAACGUGAUCUGCCUUUCAGCAACAAAUUCCAAUGAUUAAUACGUGGAAGGCUAGAGCAUUUAACAACACCUACAGAUGUACGUACACGCAACUUCUUCUUCAGUCGACAAUGCUAACUCAUGGUGUAUCGAUAGCUGGAGAGGGUGUUUUUGAAGAUCUGCGUGGAUUCUUAGAGCUUGUCAAUGUUCCGGUGUAAGUUAACUAUAUUACAAAUAUUUAAAUUUGUGUAACUGAUCUUCAACCUUAGCUUUGGAGUGGCAUGUCCCAUGUAAUAGGCAUGCUUUGUAUUGUGGUUUGGUCGAAUUUUGUAUGAGAUUUUGCCUACAAAAUGCUAUAUUGUAUCUUCUA